rnacentral:rRNA from 1 species
UACAGAGGUCUCAAGCGUUGUUCGGAUUCAUUGGGCGUAAAGGGUGCGUAGGCGGCGCGGUAAGUCGGAUGUGAAAUCUCGGAGCUUAACUUCGAAACUGCAUUCGAUACUGCCGUGCUUGAGGACUGGAGAGGAGACUGGAAUUUACGGUGUAGCGGUGAAAUGCGUAGAUAUCGUAAGGAAGACCAGUGGCGAAGGCGGGCCUCUGGACAGUUCCUGACGCUGAGGCACGAAGGUCAGGGGAGCAAACGGG